rnacentral:rRNA from 1 species
UACGUAGGGUCCGAGCGUUGUCCGGAAUUACUGGGCGUAAAGAGCUCGUAGGUGGUUUGUCGCGUUGUUCGUGAAAACUCACAGCUCAACUGUGGGCGUGCGGGCGAUACGGGCAGACUUGAGUACUGCAGGGGAGACUGGAAUUCCUGGUGUAGCGGUGGAAUGCGCAGAUAUCAGGAGGAACACCGGUGGCGAAGGCGGGUCUCUGGGCAGUAACUGACGCUGAGGAGCGAAAGCGUGGGGGAGCAAACAGG